GACAUUGAUGCUACAGGGUAACGGC
rnacentral:piRNA from 1 species